AAAAACCCUCUUCACUCACUCUCAAAACCCUCACUCAACAACCUUCAAUCCUCACAAUCCCUUCAUCUUCCUCAUCUCUCGGCCAUUCUUCAGACCUUCAACCGCCGCCACGGAUUCACCACCGCGAAACCCCAAAAUCACCACACGAACCACCACACCCAUCACCUUCCAAAUCACCACACAUCGCUCAUCUUCCACCAUCAAAACACCACCACCAGCCAUCGCACAAACCCUUCCACUCACCGCUAUUUUCUCCUUCAAACCUCUACACAAACCAUUCCGCCGUCACAAUCCACAAAACCCUCGCCGUUUUCUACCAACCCUAAACCCCCGUCUUUAUCCUCUUCAAACUCAAUCGCUCUAACCUUCGCGAUUUCCAAGCGAUACCCCCUCCAUCGUCAGAGAAAUCUGGAGUCAAGACUACUGAAUUUGUGCUUGAAAUCGGUCUUGGUAGCGGUAAUUUGACUAAGAAGCUUUUGGAUGCCGAAGUCGAUCUAAAAGAUUAGCAGGAAGUUUUGAACAAGCCGCUAACAGUCAACAACAACAUAAUCUACUGCUCGGAUGUAAACAAGGGUUUCUUUAGUUCUGCUUUCAAACCGAUCCAUUUUCGGUUCAAAUUCCGUGACACCUCAAAAGCAGCGGUUAUCGUCAUUUAUGUUGGUAAUAAUCUGAACACAUCAAAGUUUUACCUGUUUACAGCAUUCUGUAUUUUUCAGUUAAACCAUAUUUUGAUGCAUUGUGUGUAUUGAUUGCUGGCUGCUGUUAUGACUUGUAGUUUGAAGGCAUGAGUUUAUAGUCUAAUGUGUUUUAUUGUUGUUUGAUUCAAAUAAACUUUUGUUUUGAAGUUGUAUGAACUUUGUAUAUAGUGGAGCGCUACUGCAGGAAGCUCAUAAUCAACUUUGAUUUGGCAUUUUUUGUAUAAAAAUUGUGAUAAGUUAUUGGUGGACCUAUGGCCAUGAAUAAGUCUGAAAUGCAUCUCAUUGGUGGUUAUAUACCAAAAUUAAUUUUUGUCCGAUGUAUAUGGGUACCUAAUCGGUCUUUCUUUACUCAUUUUUAGUUUCCUCUUAUUUCUAAUUCCCAUGAUGUUUAGUGAUUUUUAAUUAAAUGAAGUAUUUUAUUAUUCUGCUAAAAGUUUGGCACAUUUUAGAUUAUAUUACAGUGAUCAUAUUAUUAGUUAGUCAUGUUAGUUUCAGCUUGUUUUUAAUAUCCUAUGGUAGUCACAUUACUACAUUGCUUUCUUUGUAAUAUUGUGGUGUGGACUCUAUAAAUAAUUGAGACAUAAUAUUGGUUUGUUGUUUAAUUUCCAUUUCGUCAAAUCGGAUAAAAUAAGUGGAUCCGGCUACUCCAUGCCGUUAUACCACCAAACUUCAAGAAAUUAAUUGUACGAUUUCACCGCGUUUAGAACUCACAUACGACGUUUUAAUUUCAUGGUCGUUAUGUACAAACCGGUUUGAGCACACCGAC
rnacentral:lncRNA from 1 species